rnacentral:snRNA from 1 species
AACUUUGCACAGUGGCAGUAUCCUAGCCAACGAGGUUUAUCCGAGGCACAGUUAUUGCCAAUUGAAAACUUCUCCCAGGCCA